rnacentral:misc_RNA from 1 species
GAUGAAGAACGUAGCGAAAUGCGAUAAGUAGUGUGAAUUGCAGAAUUCAGUGAAUCAUCGAAUCUUUGAACGCACAUUGCGCCUUCUAGUAUUCUAGAAGGCAUGCCUGUCCGAGCGUCAUUAAAAAAACCUCAAGCAAUCUUUUUUGCUUGGUUCUGAUGGUUGAGCUUGGAAAUAUUCAAGCACUCCAUCGAAUUUCAGUGGCGGAAACCAUGUUUGAUUCUGGUGUAAUAAAAUACAAUUAUCACGUGAAAUCUUACAAGUAUUCUAGCCUUUUAAACCCCCCCAUUACAAAACUAUUUUACAAACGACCUCGGAUCAGGUAGGGAUACCCGCUGAACUUAAGCAUAUCAAUAAGCGGAGGA